UACGGAGGGUGCAAGCGUUGUCCGGAUUUAUUGGGUUUAAAGGGUGCGUAGGCGGCCUUGUAAGUCAGUGGUGAAAGCCCCCAGCUCAACUGGAGAACUGCCAUUGAUACUGCAAGGCUUGAGUACAGACGAGGUUGGCGGAAUUGAUUGUGUAGCGGUGAAAUGCAUAGAUACAAUCAAGAACUCCGAUUGCGUAGGCAGCUAACUAGGCUGUAACUGACGCUGAGGCACGAAAGCGUGGGGAGCGAACAGG
rnacentral:rRNA from 1 species